rnacentral:lncRNA from 1 species
CUUGGGAGUGGACUCAAGGACUGGUACAGUGGAAUUAAUCAUUUCUGUGCAAAAGGAAUGACCAAUUUUCUGUCAACUUCUUUUUAACCAGUCCCUGUCCAAAGUGCUGUGACUUGCUCCUGCAAUGUCUCAGCCAAGAUUUCCAUCAGGAGGAAAAAUGAAGAACAAGCUGUAUUUUACUGUGUGCUUCUGAAGGCAAAGAGUAACAGGGAAAUGAACUACAGGAUAAUGGAUGCGGGGAUGCAGAAUGACAGAUUGUUACCUAAGAGGAGUGAUCAGAGACGUUGGGAUAAAGAAUGAAGUUCUUGGGAAGUGAUGAAUUUAGCUAUUAUUGAACACCAGAACCAUAUAGCAACAUCUAAGCAAUCUUAUCUCACUGCAAGAAAGUCUCUGCAAUGGCAAAUUCCAGAACAACAGUGGCCUCUUUCAUCAAGAAUUCUGCCAAAGGACUUGUACAAAACCCACAUUCUGGCUCUCCACACUACGCAGAUGGCUUGGCUGGCUGGAAUGAAAGUGAAGAUGACAAGAUUUUGGUCUCUGGAGAGAGAAGAUCUCAUUGUAAGAUUGGAUGUUGCACCAUCUCCACCACUGUGGACAAGGUUUUACCAUAUUUGA